rnacentral:pre_miRNA from 1 species
AUAAUACUCCCUCCGUUCGAAAUUACUUGUCUCGGAAAUGGAUGUAUCUAGAACUAAAAUACGUCUAGAUACAUCAAUUUUCGAGACAAGUAAUUCCGAACGAAGGGAGUAAUAU